UACGGAGGGUCCAAGCGUUAUCCGGAAUCAUUGGGUUUAAAGGGUCCGUAGGCGGUUUUGUAAGUCAGUGGUGAAAGCCCAUCGCUCAACGGUGGAACGGCCAUUGAUACUGCAAGACUUGAAUUAUUAGGAAGUAACUAGAAUAUGUAGUGUAGCGGUGAAAUGCUUAGAGAUUACAUGGAAUACCAAUUGCGAAGGCAGGUUACUACUAAUGGAUUGACGCUGAUGGACGAAAGCGUGGGGAGCGAACAGGA
rnacentral:rRNA from 1 species